rnacentral:rRNA from 1 species
CCUACGGGUGGCAGCAGUGAGGAAUAUUGGUCAAUGGGCGCGAGCCUGAACCAGCCAAGUAGCGUGAAGGAUGACUGCCCUACGGGUUGUAAACUUCUUUUAUAAAGGAAUAAAGUGAGGCACGUGUGCCUUUUUGUAUGUACUUUAUGAAUAAGGAUCGGCUAACUCCGUGCCAGCAGCCGCGGUAAUACGGAGGAUCCGAGCGUUAUCCGGAUUUAUUGGGUUUAAAGGGAGCGUCGAUGGGUUGUUAAGUCAGUUGUGAAAGUUUGGGGCUCAACCGUAACAGUGCAAUUGUUACUGGCAGCCUUGAGUACGGUUGAGGUAGGCGUAAUGCGUGGUGUAGCGGUGAAAUGCUUAGAUAUCACGAAGAACCCCGAUUGCGAAGGCAGCCUACUAAACUGCCACUGACGUUGAGGCUCGAAAGUGUGGGUAUCAAACAGGAUUAGAUACCCUUGUAGUC